GUGAGGAAUAUUGGUCAAUGGGCGGGAGCCUGAACCAACCAAGUCGCGUGAAGGAAGAAGGAUCUAUGGUUCGUAAACUUCUUUUGCAGGGGAAUAAAGUGCAGGACGUGUCCUGUUUUGUAUGUACCCUGAGAAUAAGGAUCGGCUAACUCCGUGCCAGCAGCCGCGGUAAUACGGAGGAUCCGAGCGUUAUCCGGAUUUAUUGGGUUUAAAGGGUGCGUAGGUGGUUUGAUAAGUCAGCGGUGAAAGUUUGCAGCUUAACUGUAAAAAUGCCGUUGAAACUGUCGGACUUGAGUGUAAAUGAGGUAGGCGGAAUGCGUGGUGUAGCGGUGAAAUGCAUAGAUAUCACGCAGAACUCCGAUUGCGAAGGCAGCUUACUAAGCUACAACUGACACUGAAGCACGAAAGCGUGGGGAUCAAACAGGAUUAGAUACCCGUGUAGUCC
rnacentral:rRNA from 1 species